AGAGUUUGAUCCUGGCUCAGGAUGAACGCUGGCGGCAUGCCUAAGACAUGCAAGUCGAACGAGACGGCCUAUUGAAGAUGGAGUGCUUGCACAAAGUUGGAUAUAGUUUACCGUCUAGUGGCGCAAGGGUGAGUAACGCGUGGGUUAUCUGCCUUCAAGACUGGGAUAACGGUUAGAAAUGAUCGCUAAUACCGGAUAAUACAUAUUUCAGUACGCUGUUAUAUGUUGAAAGGAGCCUUUAAAGCUCUACUCGAAGAUGAGCCUGCGUCGUAUUAGCUAGUUGGUGGGGUAAAGGCCUACCAAGGCGACGAUGCGUAGCCGACCUGAGAGGGUGAUCGGCCACACUGGGACUGAGACACGGCCCAGACUCCUACGGGAGACAGCAGUUAGGAAUAUUUGUCAAUGGAGGAAACUCUGAACAAGCAAUGCCGCGUGAAGGAUGACGGUCCUAUGGAUUGUAAACUUCUGUUGUUAGGGAAGAACGACUACACAAGGAAAUGUGUGUAGAGUGACGGUACCUUUCAAGAAAGCUCCGGCUAACUACGUGCCAGCAGCCGCGGUAAUACGUAGGGAGCGAGCGUUAUCCGGAUUUAUUGGGUGUAAAGGGUGCGUAGGCGGCUUUAUAAGUCGGUGGUCUAAGUCCGAAGCUUAACUUCGGUUCGCCAUUGAAACUGUAGAGCUUGAGUAUGGAAGAGGUAAGUGGAAUUUCUAGUGUAGCGGUUAAAUGCGUAGAUAUUAGAAGGAACACCAGUGGCGAAAGCGACUUACUGGUCCACUACUGACGCUGAGGCACGAAAGCGUGGGGAGCAAAUAGGAUUAGAUACCCUAGUAGUCCACGCCGUAAACGAUGAAUACUAAGUAUUGGGGAAACUCAGUGCUGCAGCUAACGCAAUAAGUAUUCCGCCUGUGGAGUAUGCACGCAAGUGUGAAACAUAAAGGAAUUGACGGGGGCCCGCACAAGCGGUGGAGUAUGUGGUUUAAUUCGACGCAACGCGAAGAACCUUACCAGGCCUUGACAUCCCUUGCAAAGCUGUAGAGAUACAGUAGAGGUUAUCAAGGAGACAGGUGGUGCAUGGUUGUCGUCAGCUCGUGUCGUGAGAUGUUGGGUUAAGUCCCGCAACGAGCGCAACCCUUAUUACUAGUUGCCAGCAUUGAGUUGGGCACUCUAGUGAGACUGCCGGUGACAAACCGGAGGAAGGUGGGGAUGACGUCAAAUCAUCAUGCCCCUUACGUCUAGGGCUACAGGCGUGCUACAAUGGCUGGUAUAAAAAGAUGCAAUAUCGUGAGAUGGAGCAAAUCUCCAAAGCCAGUCCCAGUACGGAUUGAAGUCUGCAACUCGACUUCAUGAAGUUGGAAUCGCUAGUAAUCCUGAAUCAGAAUGUCAGGGUGAAUACGUUCUCGGGUGUUGUACACACCGCCCGUCAUGCCAUGGGAGUCGGUAAUACCCAAAGGUGGUAGCCUAACCAGUUUACUGGAGGGGGCCAAUUAAGGUAGGAUCGGUGACUGGGGUAAAGUCGUAACAAGGUAUCCCUACGGGAACGUGG
rnacentral:rRNA from 1 species